rnacentral:lncRNA from 1 species
AUCCUCACCUCCCCUUAUGUUUAAAGCAUGUUUUAAAGGGUUUAAGUGAGUUGUAUGGCUUGGUUUUGGGUGUAACCAUGAGUUGUGCAUAUGUUGAUCAUAUGUGAUUUGAUGAUGUUUGAGGUUACUUGUGGGGUUUGAGCUAGUGUUUAGGCCCCUAUAUGCAUGAGAUAUGAUAUGUGCUAGUUGUGGAAAGUUGGCAUGCGUGAGAUGGGUUUUUUUAGGUUUGUGGAGGCUGUUUGCAUAAAGUAGAGCAGGGUUCUGCCUUACUGGCAAACCCAGUUUCAGCCGUCGAAGGAAGGUU